rnacentral:rRNA from 1 species
UACGUAGGGGGCAAGCGUUGUCCGGAUUUACUGGGCGUAAAGCGUGCGCAGGCGGUUAUGUAAGACUGUUGUGAAAUCCCCGGGCUCAACCUGGGAACUGCAUCUGUGACUGCAUAGCUAGAGUACGGUAGAGGGGGAUGGAAUUCCGCGUGUAGCAGUGAAAUGCGUAGAUAUGCGGAGGAACACCGAUGGCGAAGGCAAUCCCCUGGGCCUGCACUGACGCUCAUGCACGAAAGCGUGGGGAGCAAACAGG